rnacentral:rRNA from 1 species
GUCAGCAGCUAUAUCACCCUGCAGCUCUAAAUUGGCUACCCACUGAAGCUACUGUAAGUAGGGUUGAGCCUGGUCAGUACCUAGUUGGAAACCUCCUGGGAAACUAUGGUUCCUGCUGGAA